UCGAGAAUCUUCCGCAAUGGGCGCAAGCCUGACGGAGCGACGCCGCGUGAUGGAUGAAGUCCUUCGGGACGUAAACAUCUUUUAUGCAUGAGGAAAUAAUUGACGUUAGUGCAUGAAUAAGGGGCUCCUAACUCUGUGCCAGCAGGAGCGGUAAUACAGAGGCCCCAAGCGUUACCCGGAAUCACUGGGCGUAAAGGGUGUGUAGGCGGUUAUGUUAGUCUUUUGUUAAAGCUCUUGGGCUUAACCCAGGAAAUGCAAAAGAAACGGCAUGACUUUUGAGGACGUGAGAGGUAGAGGGAACUCAUGGUGUAGGGGUGAAAUCCGUUGAUAUCAUGGGGAACACCAAAUGCGAAGGCACUCUACUGGCGCGCUCCUGACGCUGAGACACGAAAGCGUGGGAAUCGAACGGGAUUAGAUACCCCCGUAGUCC
rnacentral:rRNA from 1 species